UGGGGAAUAUUGGACAAUGGGCGAAAGCCUGAUCCAGCAAUGCCGCGUGUGUGAAGAAGGCCUUCGGGUUGUAAAGCACUUUAAGUUGGGAAGAAAAAGCUUCGACUAAUAUUCGGAGCCUUGACGGUACCGACAGAAUAAGCACCGGCUAACUCUGUGCCAGCAGCCGCGGUAAUACAGAGGGUGCGAGCGUUAAUCGGAUUUACUGGGCGUAAAGCGUGCGUAGGCGGUUUGAUAAGUCGAUUGUGAAAGCCCCGGGCUUAACCUGGGAACUGCAGUCGAUACUGUCAGACUCGAGAACGGUAGAGGGAGGCGGAACUCCAGGUGUAGCGGUGAAAUGCGUAGAUAUCUGGAAGAACACCGAUGGCGAAGGCAACCUCCUGGGCCUGUUCUGACGCUG
rnacentral:rRNA from 1 species